GCCAUAUUUAGAAUUUUGGGUAUGAAAGGCUAACAUUAACAAACUACAGCAUGACCAAAAGACAGCAACCAGGACUUGAAACCACAUCACAGAAAUAAUUCAAGGAAUUAGGGGCAGCUGAACCUUUAAAAAAAAAAAAAUGGGGGAUAAGGGAGGUGGUAAGAAGAUAGGUACACGACAUUGUAUAUAGGCCACAAGAUAGAUGUCUUAAUAUAUUUUGAGGACCGUCACCAAAAAACUCAGACAUGUUCUGUGUAUUUCCAAAAAGAACAAAGACUUUUAGCUCCAAAAUUUUAGCUCAAUAUAAGAUAUGACUCUCUAAAAAACCAAAGUACUCACAACUUGGAAAUAAAUGGCCUUCUUAAGCACAAAAAAAUCUCCUUUAAAAGUGUUUAAGCACAUAUUAGAUAAAAGACCACUGCAUUAGGAAAAGAGGCUUAACUAAAUGAGGUGGCCAUUUUCAGCUCUUACAAUUAUUUGUCUUGAUGAAUUUAUCGUCAACUUCGGGAGAAAGAUUGUUGAGAGCUGACUACAGAGGUCUCUAUUAGGUAAGUCACAUGCUCUUUGGGUCUUUUUUAUAUACAUAUAUAAAUAAAGGAUAUGGGCUAGAAUUUCCAAGUUCCCUUAAGCAUUAAAUUCAUGUAAUUAUAAUUAUUUUAUUAUAAAAGUUGAGCUAGGACAAGCUUGUCAGCUCUUGAAAGUUCUACCAGCAUUAACAACUUUUUAAACAACCAACAAUAAAAUAUCAGUAAUUUCAAGGAAGAAAGAGAUGGGAACAUCUCCCUCUUUAAUAGAUUCAGCCAUUUCAUCUUCAAAUCAUUACCUGCUUUGAGGAGCUAAGCAACAGCAAUAGGUAAUCAUUAGGAACUAUGAUUUUGUAAUUCCAACAAAAUUUCUCAAAUGAUGAAUACUGAAUAUGCCCCGGGAUUCAUUAAAAGGUGUUGUAAGUUUGCACAAAAUACUCUGAAAAACGUGAACUGUUAUAAGUUGCAAUUCAAUGUCUCACUGUGGUCUAAGGGUAUCUGCAGGCUUUUCAAAGGCUCAACACAGAGCACAGAUUCUAGUAACCAUUAUACCAAAAUGGAAAGGCUUCAAGUACAGGAUCAGUGAUGGGCUAUGUGACCAAAGACUAGCAUUGCUAAAUCCAAGAGGCUCAUCAUCAGGCUGGCUGCAAACUGAUGGCUAUUUUCGCUGCAAGAUACUACUGAAGAAAACAAAUAUUUUUGAGUCACAGAAAGGUCAUAAUCAAUGUCAGGAAAAGUACUCACAAGGGCAGAAUCACAGAUGUCUGAAAUAAAAAAAUGGAACACAGCACUGACUGUACUUAACAAUGAUCUGGCAGAUUCUUCCAGACUCCCAUUUACUGUAAUAAUGAGGAAACCAAAGGGCAGUAAGAAUAAAGUGAUGUGCCCCUGGUUACAUGAAUAUUAGUGGCAGGGUCAGUCCUAGAAUCUUUAACUAAUGUUUUUAUCCAUAUAACACUAGCUCUCCAGUUACUAAGUUAAAUCAGAAGUCUGAUAUAGCACUUAAAUUUGGAAGCAAGAGUAGGGAGAAGAAGGUUGUCUGUUUGUCAUUUCAGUGCAAUAUUAACCAUUCCCUCUGGUAAUAAAAAAUAGAAUUCCAGAUAUAUAAGAAAAAAGCAGGCUGCAAGACUCACGAGAAAAUAGAACAUGUGUUCCAAAAGUUUUAAAAAAAGAAAUCCUAAAUAAUAAAGAAAAAUCUAAUAUGAAAAUGCUUGGAUUUAACUUUAGGUAAUUAACAACGACAUCCACAAAAAUUCAUGCAUGUCAAUCUCCUAUUCAGUCCUAGAGCCUGCGGUAUUAUAAUUUAUUGUGAAACCAGAAAACCAAAUACUUAAAUAUAUCCACAACAUCUAUACCUUGAUAAUGCAUAGUACAUAAUAUACUAACAUCUCUAAAUAAAUUUCUAAUUACACAUCUAUGCAAAUUAUAAGAAUAUCAACUGCCAUGUAUAGAAAUAGCAGCAACUUCAUAAGAUUCCACUGCAAUGUAUUAGUCUGCAUCCUUAAUAAGAGCAAUGUGUUGUGCAUUAUCUGAAAAUCCCAAAUCAGAGCAUCAAGCUAAUACCUAAUGACUACAAUGUGCUGUUAAUUAAUACUACUGCAUAUGCAGAUGUUUAAAGCAGUUAAAUUACACAGUAGGGAAAAAUAAUCCUAAUUCACAGUUUCAAAAACAAAGGGUGCAGUUUUCAAAUAUCUUUGCUUCCCAUUAAAACUGGUCAUUUGGUGAAUCUAAUAAUGGCUGCCUCUUUCAGUAGAUGUAAAAUCCUAUAUUUGAAGAGCGUUAAGAGAUGCCAUUUAUUUUCAGAAGUCAGUUUUAUGUUAUACAAGCACCACACAUUGUAGGGAAGAGGCUACAGUGUGAAAUGAAGACUGCUUAAGUAUGUGUUUAAAAUUAGUCAACUAAGGAGUUGCUAGACAAGAAUUUUUUCUUCCCCCAGUACAAAUCCUAUAUUGAGGAAAAGCAAUUAAUGCUUUCCAAAAACAGUUUACACUCCAUAAAGGAGGAAAAAAACCCAAACAAACUAUUAGCUA
ensembl:lncRNA